UACGGAGGAUCCAAGCGUUAUCCGGAUUCAUUGGGUUUAAAGGGUGCGUAGGCGGACUGAUAAGUCAGCGGUGAAAUCCCACGGCUCAACUGUGGAACUGCCGUUGAUACUGUUAGUCUUGAAUGCAGAUGAUGUGGGCGGAAUAUGACAUGUAGUGGUGAAAUACUUAGAUAUGUCAUAGAACACCGAUUGCGAAGGCAGCUCACAAAAACUGUGAUUGACGCUGAGGCACGAAAGUGCGGGGAUCAAACAGG
rnacentral:rRNA from 1 species